AAUGAACGUUGGCGGCGUGGAUUAGGCAUGCAAGUCGAGCGCGAUAUGUAGCAAUACAUGGAGAGCGGCGAAAGGGAGAGUAAUACGUAGGUAUCUACCCUCGGGUCUGGGAUAGCAGCGGGAAACUGCUGGUAAUACCAGAUAACGUCUCCGGACCAAAGGUGUGAUUCCACCUGAGGAGGAGCCUACGGCCUAUUAGCUAGUUGGUAGGGUAACGGCCUACCAAGGCAAAGAUGGGUAUGGGGUGUGAGAGCAUGCCCCACUCACUGGGACUGAGACACUGCCCAGACACCUACGGGUGGCUGCAGUCGAGAAUCUUCGGCAAUGGGCGAAAGCCUGACCGAGCGACGCCGCGUGCGGGAUGAAGGCCUCGGGUUGUAAACCGCUGUCGUAGUGGAGGAAAUGUAGGAGAGUUAUCGUCUUCUACUUGACUAAUACUAGGAGGAAGGACCGG
rnacentral:rRNA from 1 species